rnacentral:rRNA from 1 species
UUGCCAGACUCCUACGGGAGGCAGCAGUAGGGAAUAUUGCUCAAUGGGGGAAACCCUGAAGCAGCAACGCCGCGUGGAGGAUGAAGGUUUUAGGAUUGUAAACUCCUUUUGUUAGAGAAGAUUGUGACGGUAUCUAACGAAUAAGCACCGGCUAACUCCGUGCCAGCAGCCGCGGUAAUACGGAGGAUGCGAGCGUUAUCCGGAUUUAUUGGGUUUAAAGGGUGCGUAGGCGGGACGGUAAGUCAGCGGUAAAAAUGCGGAGCUCAACUCCGGCGAGCCGUUGAAACUGCCGUUCUUGAGUGAGCGAGAAGUAUGCGGAAUGCGUGGUGUAGCGGUGAAAUGCAUAGAUAUCACGCAGAACUCCGAUUGCGAAGGCAGCAUACCGGCGCUCAACUGACGCUGAAGCACGAAGGCGUGGGUAUCGAACAGGAUUAGAUACCCGUGUA